rnacentral:rRNA from 1 species
UACGUAGGGUGCAAGCGUUAAUCAGAAUUACUGGGCGUAAAGCGUGCGCAGGCGGUUGUGCAAGACCGAUGUGAAAUCCCCGGGCUCAACCUGGGAAUUGCGAUGGAGACUGCAAGGCUAGAAUCUGGCAGAGGGGGGUAGAAUUCCACGUGUAGCAGUGAAAUGCGUAGAGAUGUGGAGGAACACCGAUGGCGAAGGCAAUCCCCUGGACCUGUACUGACGCUCAUGCACGAAAGCGUGGGGAGCAAACAGG